UGCAGUCGAACGGUAACAUAGAAAGCUUGCUUUUCUGAUGACGAGUGGCGCACGGGUGCGUAACGCGUAUGCAAUCUACCUUUUACAGGGGGAUAGCCCAGAGAAAUUUGGAUUAAUAUCCCAUAGUAUCAAGAGUCGGCAUCGGCAUUUGAUUAAAGAUUCAUCGGUAAAAGAUGAGCAUGCGUCCUAUUAGCUAGAUGGUGUGGUAACGGCACACCAUGGCAACGAUAGGUAGGGGCCCUGAGAGGGGGAUCCCCCACACUGGUACUGAGACACGGACCAGACUCCUACGGGAGGCAGCAGUGAGGAAUAUUGGACAAUGGGCGCAAGCCUGAUCCAGCCAUGCCGCGUGCAGGAAGACUGCCCUAUGGGUUGUAAACUGCUUUUAUACGGGAAGAAACACUCCCUCGUGAGGGAGCUUGACGGUACCGUAAGAAUAAGGAUCGGCUAACUCCGUGCCAGCAGCCGCGGUAAUACGGAGGAUCCAAGCGUUAUCCGGAAUCAUUGGGUUUAAAGGGUCCGUAGGUGGAUAAUUAAGUCAGAGGUGAAAUCCUGCAGCUCAACUGUAGAAUUGCCUUUGAUACUGGUUAUCUUGAGUCAUUAUGAAGUGGUUAGAAUAUGUAGUGUAGCGGUGAAAUGCAUAGAUAUUACAUA
rnacentral:rRNA from 1 species